GCCCAAUAAACAACACUUUUCCAUUACACCUAAAAAAAUUUUUUUAUGCCAAUAGUAUCCUAAUAAAACUUUAUAUAGCUUAACAACCGCAAGGGCCACCAACCUUCUCUGCUCACCAUAGAAAAGAUAAUAACUUCUCCCUCUUGCAUCAUGGAGGAGCAACAAAACCGUAAAAACUAUACCAUUCCCGAAUAAUUAUGAGCUACUAAAACCUAAAACUUAAUGUUUCACAAUUAAUAAAUUAGCCUUUAGUAGGAGUAACAAGCCUUUCAUAUAGUUAGAUAGCUGGUUUUCCGCAAAAAGUAUCAAAGUACUGUCCUAUAGUUUGAUUUAAACACUAAACCAUUAUAGGAAUCAACCUUUUAAGGACUAGCCUAAAAGGAAAUUAUAAUAACAACACCUUCACCACCUUUAAUGUAGGCUUAAAAGCAGUCACCCAAACAGCGUUCUAGCUAAUAAACCCCUUUAUAAUUAUAAUAUCAAAAGCAAAAUUUUAAUUAAAGCGAAAUCUAGUAUAAAAUUCAUAUUACUAACAAACAGGCAUCCUAUUAGUAUUACAACAACAAAGUAUUAAAAGUAUCAAUAAAAUUAAUACCAACAAAUAAAUCACCACCUCAACCAUACAGAGUGAACUCGGCAACAAAAUUUCCCCUGCCUGUUUACCAAAAACAUCGUCUUUUGUCAACCUAUAUAAAAGAUAAUGCCUGCCCAGUGAAAACUUUAAACGGCCGCGUUAGCGUGAGCGUGCUAAGGUAGCGUAAUAAAUAGCCUCUUAAUUGGAGGCCAGUGAAUGGCAAGACUAGGGACAUCUGUACCCUGUAUGGAAAAACAACUUUUCAUUUGGGUGAAAAGACCCACAUAAUAAAGGAAGACGAAAAGACCCCGCGGAACUUUACCUCUUCUAACAUCUACAUGCUCAGAAACAUAAAAACAAAAGGUUUGAUUGGGGCAAUCUUGGAACCACCCAAACUUCCAACUUACAACAAAAAAGUAUAUAAAACUCAAUAAGGACCAAAAGAAGUUACCCCGGGGAUAACAGCGUAAUCCAACUUGAGAGUACAAUCCACAUAAGUGCAACCGCUAUGAUAGGAUAGUCUGUUCGACUAUUAUACCCUUACACGAGCUGAGUUAAGACCGGCGCAAGCUAGGUUGGUUUCUAUCUCCUUAACUUAAUAACUUUCUUGAUUGUACGAAAGGACCCCAAGAAAUGCAGAAGACAACAAGCAUAUAAAAUUUAAACCAACUAAACCAACAUCUAAUUUCUCACGAUC
rnacentral:rRNA from 1 species